rnacentral:lncRNA from 1 species
AGCUUAAAAACAAAUUCUUACGCUUGCACAAACACAAUUGAAACAAGCCAUCUAACCCCAAAUGAUGUCUUGCUUUCAAUGUACAGUCAUUUCUUAAAUCUAAAAAUAAUCUCUUCUGCUAAAACUCGAAGAACACAAAAUGAGUUAGGAGCUAAUAACCUAUACAACUCCAGAAAAUUAAAGUAAAGUUUCACUAUAUCUUCUGUCCAAUAUGCAAACAGAUUUUGCAGUCAAUUAGGGUAAUUGAAUCUUCUGAUCAUGGUAAAUAACACAAACAUCUGUCCUGAAAUCUACAGAUCCAACUUCGACCGCCCUGCUUAUAUGACAUCAAUUUUAUAAGAAAUAGAAAAAUAAAACAAGACAGAAAACGUUCUUCAAAAAAUAAAAUGUAGUAGUAGCUAAUGGUUAUUACCAUUUGGUCCUACUAUAUUGCUCAUAGAGGAAUUUGUUUCAAAUCCCAUUUGAAGAAGGCUUUGGAGUUCAUUGUCCCAUACAUUCUGCAUGAAAAGUAGUAGGUUUUGAUUAUAUCAUUUCUUUGAAGUUGAGUAGAAUGUGCAACUAGGAUGAGAGAUGGAAAAUACUCCCAAAUGCUCUGUAUUCUACACCAAACAAAAUAAUUUAACAGUAUGAGUCAUAUAUCAAACUGGU